rnacentral:rRNA from 1 species
UACGGGGGGGGCAAGCGUUGUUCGGAAUUACUGGGCGUAAAGGGCUCGUAGGCGGCCAACUAAGUCAGACGUGAAAUCCCUCGGCUUAACCGGGGAACUGCAUCUGAUACUGGAUGGCUUGAGUUCGGGAGAGGGAUGCGGAAUUCCAGGUGUAGCGGUGAAAUGCGUAGAUAUCUGGAGGGACACCGGUGGCGAAGGCGGCAUCCUGGACUGGUACUGACGCUCAGGAGCGAAAGCGUGGGGAGCGAUCCGG